GGUGACUCAGUGGUAGAGUGCUUGCCUUGCAUGCAUGAAGCCCUGGGUUCAAUUCCUCAGCACCA
rfam:Dipodomys ordii contig_41911, whole genome shotgun sequence.